rfam:Schistosoma rodhaini strain Burundi genome assembly, scaffold: SROB_scaffold0004707
GUACUGCUGAGGAGUCCCAUAAUAAGACGAAACAACCGUCCAGUAC